rnacentral:rRNA from 1 species
AUUGAACGCUGGCGGCAGGCCUAACACAUGCAAGUCGAACGGUAACAGGAAACAGCUUGCUGUUUCGCUGACGAGUGGAGGACGGGUGAGUAAUGUCUGGGAAACUGCCUGAUGGAGGGGGAUAACUACUGGAAACGGUAGCUAAUACCGCAUAACGUCGCAAGACCAAAGAGGGGGACCUUCGGGCCUCUUGCCAUCGGAUGUGCCCAGAUGGGAUUAGCUAGUAGGUGGGGUAACGGCUCACCUAGGCGACGAUCCCUAGCUGGUCUGAGAGGAUGACCAGCCACACUGGAACUGAGACACGGUCCAGACUCCUACGGGAGGCAGCAGUGGGGAAUAGUGCACAAUGGGCGCAAGCCUGAUGCAGCCAUGCCGCGUGUAUGAAGAAGGCCUUCGGGUUGUAAAGUACUUUCAGCGGGGAGGAAGGGAGUAAAGUUAAUACCUUUGCUCAUUGACGUUACCCGCAGAAGAAGCACCGGCUAACUCCGUG